rnacentral:tRNA from 1 species
UGGGGUGUGGCUCAGUGGCAGAGCACUUGCAUAGCAUGCACAAGGCCCUGGGUUCCAACUCCAGCACCACAA